rnacentral:rRNA from 1 species
CCUACGGGAGGCAGCAGUGGGGAAUAUUGCACAAUGGGGGAAACCCUGAUGCAGCGACGCCGCGUGAGUGAAGAAGUAAUUCGUUAUGUAAAGCUCUAUCAGCAGGGCAGAAAAUGACGGUACCUGAGUAAGAAGCCCCGGCUAACUACGUGCCAGCAGCCGCGGUAAUACGUAGGGGGCAAGCGUUAUCCGGAUUUACUGGGUGGAAAGGGAGCGUAGACGGCAGUGCAAGUCUGGAGUGAAAGGCGGGGGCUCAACCCCCGGACUGCUCUGGAAACUGUACGGCUGGAGUGCAGGAGAGGUAAGUGGAAUUCCUAGUGUAGCGGUGAAAUGCGUAGAUAUUAGGAGGAACACCAGUGGCGAAGGCGGCUUACUGGACUGUAACUGACGUUGAGGCUCGAAAGCGUGGGGAGCAAACAGGAUUAGAUACCCCAGUAGUC